UACGUAGGGGGCAAGCGUUGUCCGGAAUCAUUGGGCGUAAAGAGCGCGUAGGCGGCCCGGUAAGUCCGCUGUGAAAGUCGAGGGCUCAACCCUCGAAUGCCGGUGGAUACUGUCGGGCUUGAGUACGGGAGAGGCGAGUGGAAUUCCUGGUGUAGCGGUGAAAUGCGCAGAUAUCAGGAGGAACACCGAUUGCGAAGGCAGCUCGCUGGAACGUUACUGACGCUGAGACGCGAAAGCGUGGGGAGCAAACAGG
rnacentral:rRNA from 1 species